GACGAACGCUGGCGGCGUGCCUAAUACAUGCAAGUCGGACGCUGAAGGAGGAGCUUGCUUCUCUGGAUGAGUUGCGAACGGGUGAGUAACGCGUAGGUAACCUGCCUGGUAGCGGGGGAUAACUAUUGGAAACGAUAGCUAAUACCGCAUAAUAGUAGAUGUUGCAUGACAUUUGCUUAAAAGGUGCAAUUGCAUCACUACCAGAUGGACCUGCGUUGUAUUAGCUAGUUGGUGGGGUAACGGCUCACCAAGGCGACGAUACAUAGCCGACCUGAGAGGGUGAUCGGCCACACUGGGACUGAGACACGGCCCAGACUCCUACGGGAGGCAGCAGUAGGGAAUCUUCGGCAAUGGACGGAAGUCUGACCGAGCAACGCCGCGUGAGUGAAGAAGGGUUUCGGAUCGUAAAGCUCUGUUGUAAGAGAAGAACGAGUGUGAGAGUGGAAAGUUCACACUGUGACGGUAUCUUACCAGAAAGAGACGGCUAACUACGUG
rnacentral:rRNA from 1 species